CGGCGGACGGGUGAGUAACGCGUGGGUAACCUACCCUGUACACACGGAUAACAUACCGAAAGGUAUGCUAAUACGGGAUAAUAUAUUUGAGAGGCAUCUCUUGAAUAUCAAAGGUGAGCCAGUACAGGAUGGACCCGCGUCUGAUUAGCUAGUUGGUAAGGUAACGGCUUACCAAGGCGACGAUCAGUAGCCGACCUGAGAGGGUGAUCGGCCGCAUUGGAACUGAGACACGGUCCAA
rnacentral:rRNA from 1 species